GAGCUUUUUUAAAAGUUCUUAACGAUGAGUGUUAUCGUGUUGUGUUUUGACUUUUGCAUUUCUUUUAAAGUUCUCGAAAUCAGUUAAAAUGCAGUUAUAAAAAUCAAAGCCAUUUUAUUUGAGGAAGUAUAUUAUUUGCGUAGAUUCUUGUGCCGGGCGGUAGGUUUGUUCAUUUUGCGAGUUAUUUUUGUGCAUUAUUGUAAUAAUUUUGUUGUGCUGUUGUUGUUCUAUUGUUGUGUGGUUUGUUUUUUAGUGUUGUGCCUUUGUUGUUUUGUUUGUAUAUUAUCUUUAUGAUUUUGUGGUGUUGUUUGUAUUUUAUUGUUGUGUUUUUGUUGUGUUGUGCAAAUUAAAAAUGGCUUCAACAUCAACAGGCUCAAAGGACUUGAGUGCCGACAAAAAAAAAGAAAUAGUUGAGGCGACAAAAGCUAUUUGUAAGAACCUGCAAAGCAAAACCGAGGCUGUAAAGCAGGUUGUUGAUAUUUUUUCUGUAUCUGAACGAACAGUAUACAGACUUCUGAAGGAAAACAGCACCAAAGGCCACAACUCACCACCAAAAAAGAAAAACCAAUCUGGUCGCAAAAUUAAAAUUGAUGAUUUUGAUAAAUGUGCAAUUAGACAAAUAGUUCACCAAUUUUUUUCAAAUAAUGAAUUACCGACGCUUGACAAAAUCCUGAAUGAGGUAAAACUUAAUGUCAACAUCAACAAAAUCAGCAGGUCUUACAUGCACACGAUUUUGACAAAAAAUCUUGGCUUUAAGUUUGCCAGUCGCCAGCGAAAAAGUGUAUUAUUAGAAAGAAAUGACAUUAUCGCCUGGAGAAGGCGAUACUUGAGUGAAAUAAAAAAACUUAGGGAACAAAACCGCAAAAUAUAUUACACUGAUGAAACUUGGCUAAACGAAGGGCACACAAAAGAAAAAGUUUGGCAAGAUCCGUCCAUAUUAACACCUCGGCAAGCUUUCACGGAAGGUUCAUCAACAGGUUUGCGUGCACCAUCGGGAAAAGGGAAGAGGCUUAUAAUAACGCACAUAGGAAGCUCUACAGGUUUCGUAGAUGGCGGACUCCUAUGUUUCGUUUCUGGAAGCAGUGGUGAUUAUCACGAAGAUAUGAACGCCGACGUUUAUGAAAAGUGGUUUAAGGAAACACUUACGUGCCUGGAUCCCAACUCAGUUAUUGUCCUGGAUAACGCAUCAUAUCAUUCACGAAAGAAAAACAAAGCUCCAACUACAGCAACAAAAAAAAACGACAUAAAGAUUUGGCUCCGGUCAAACGAUAUUUCUUUCGAGGAUGAUAUGGUGAAGGCAGAGUUGUUGAGCAUUGUUAAGCACCAUAAAACCAGGUAUGAAACAUAUGACGAUAUGGCCCAAGCUGCAGGACACGAAGUGCUUCGCUUGCCUCCUUACCACUGUGAGCUGAAUCCAAUAGAAUUGGUUUGGGCUCAAGUAAAAGGAUUCGUGGCAAGUCGAAACAAGUCGUUUAAGAUGACAGAACUAAAAGGCCUUUUCGAAAGUGCAAUACAAAACGUGGACGCUGAAAAAUGGUAUUGGUGUGUCCAACACGUUGAGCAGGUGGUUAAGCCAAAAAUGUGGGAAAUGGACGUUUUUUCGGAAGAUGCUGUGGAAAGCCUCAUCAUAAAUUUAGAUGAAGAGAGCAGCAGCAGUAACUACUCUUCGGAUUUAAAUGUAUAUAUUGUAGUAGUAAAAAUAAACAGAAAGACGAAAAAACAAAAUUUGUAACGGGUAUACUCUGGAAUAUGUAAAAAGGGGAAACUGACUGCCAGUAGGUAGGGAUAUUAAAGAAUAAAGAAUAAAAGAUGAGGAGUCAGUUGAAUCCUGACCGCAAGCAUAAGAAGACGUGUUUUAUUCGGCUCACAUAAAAAUUUUAUCGGACGAUUAAAAUUCAGAAGUGGGAUAUAUAACCCGGUAUUACAGAAAAUAAAGAGUUUUAAAAAAAAAAAAAAGAAAUAAAUAAGAAUUUAAACGGAGUCGACCAGUCGAAAAAAAAAACAAAUAAAACGAGUGUCUUUCACGUUGCGAUUUCGUUGUUGUGCGCAUAGUAUAUCGUUGUGCCUACAUAAUAUAGACACGAGAAUUCACUCUCGCAGAGAAAAAAAAAAAAAACACUCAAACGACCGUUGCCAUUGCCAGUGCGCGUCGCUAAUUUAAAAAUUCGAACAUCGAAAAUACACACAAUCAACAACAAUGGCAGACGUGGAAUUCUUCAAGAAAUAUACGGUUUCACAGUUGAAGGCAUGGUUGAGUGCUCUUGGGUUGAGGACAAGCGGCAACAAGGCAGAGCUUGUUUUAAGAUUACUGGAAGUUCCACAGCAGCUGCGUAAUAACACGGAGUCAGUCACUAAUACUGACGAAGAUGACGGGGAAAAUAAUGAAACGGAGAAUGAGGCAGAAGGAAAUGAAGAUAAUGAUGACGAGAAUGGGGCGGAAAACGAUAGCAAUGUUGAUGACGGCGAUGAAGAAGACGAACUGGAAGGUGAAAAUGAAAUAGUUGCAGACAAGAAUGGGGAGAAAAAGAAAAAUGAAGCGGUUGCAGAAAAAAAUAAGAAAAAGAGCGCAUACGACAACAAACGAAUGGAAAAAGAAAUUGAAUUACUAAAAAGAGAGAUGGAAUUAAAAAAACGAGAAAAUGAAAUGCUAAAGAAAGAAAACGAGUACCUAAAAAAUGAUCGACAAACGAGCGUGGAAAGAAAAGGAGAGAAUAUAGGUCAAAUUAAAGAUCUAAUUGGCAGUUUUGGAGGCACUGGAGAUUCAUUCGAACACUUUGAGAAGCAGUUGAGGAAUAUUCGUGCUGCAUACGAACUUAAUGACAGCAGUAUGAGGAUACUCAUCUCACUUAAACUGAAAGACAAAGCACUCAGGUGGUUCCACUCCAAGGAUAACAUAGUGACAGUGGUGUUUGACGAACUGAUGGCGGAGAUGAAACAAAUAUUUGACGAUCGUUCAUCUCAAGUGCAACAAAAACGAGUGUUUGAGUUAAAGAAGUGGUUGCAAAAUGAAACAUUCCAGGACUAUUUUCAGGAGAAAAUAAUUCUUGGCAACCGACUGCAAAUGAGAGAGGGGGAGAUAAUUGAAUACAUCUUGGAAGGCAUACCGGAUGAGAGGCUGAUAUCAAGUGCGAAAUUGCAAUGCUUCACCAAAAAGGAACAACUGUUGGAAGCCUUUAAAUCGAUUAGACAUCCAGCCAAAGCAAAAGUGGUUACAGCAACACCAUCAACAUCGCGGCAAUGGACAGCAAACGUCAGCGUGAGACAAACUCGUUGUUACAACUGUAACUCAAUUGGACAUAUGGCAAACAAAUGCAAAAAGGAGAUACGCAAGCCAGGUGCGUGUCAUGUUUGUGCCGAGAUGGGGCAUUUUGCAGCCCAGUGCCCAAAAAGGAAGAAGGUUCCAGCGAUUGGAUAUGUCAACUCUGAUUCUGAGGAUGAGUAUAUUCACUCUUAGACACCGGCAGUCCUGUCAGCCUUAUAAAAAUUAGUUAUUUAAGAAUGUAUUAAAAACAAAAUAUUAUACAGUAUUCGGCAAGUUUUGGUUCUUAUUGUGGGAUUAAUAAAAGUCCAUUAUCCAUAAUUGGGAAAGUAGAUGUGUGUAUUUUAUUUGAUGAAGAGGUUAUACUGAUGGAAUUAUUAGUAGUUUCAGAUGAUACCAUGAAAUAUCCUGUUAUUUUGGGACGGGAUUUUUUAUCCAAAGCUAAUUUAAGAUUGCAAAAGAUUAUGAUUUAUAAUGAAGAUGAAGAAAAUAAUAUGUACGACAAUGAGUGCAAAAGACUUUUUAAUAUAAUGAUACAAAAUGAAAGAGAUCUCGAAAAAGAUUUAAAUAUUAAGAUAAGGAAAUGUAAUUUUAACGAGGAAAAAAUUGAAGAGGAAGAUAUUCCCUUUAAAAACAAUGAGUUGUCUUUUAAAAUAAAAGAAAGUUUCUUUAAAAUCAUUAGGGAAUCCUAUUUGUACUGUUCUCGCCCCGAAGUGCCUGAAGUUAAAUAUGAGAUGAAACUUCGGCUCAGUGAUGAAAAGCCCUUCCAUUACCCCCCAAGGAGAAUGUCAUACUUUGAAAAAGAACAGGUACAGGUUAUUUUGGAUGAUCUGAUUGAACAAGGAGUGAUUCGCGAAAGUAGGUCAGAAUAUUCUUCACCGGUAGUAUUAGUAAGAAAGAAAACAGGCGGCAUAAGGUUGUGUGUAGACUACCGGACCUUGAAUAAAGUUACACAAAAAGAUAAUUAUCCCAUUCCACUUAUAGAUGAUUUACUGGAUAGGUUAGUUAAUAAAAAGAUUUUCACAUUGAUAGACUUAAAAAGUGCUUUUCACCACGUUCAAGUAAACGAAGAGUCUAUCAAAUAUACUGCUUUUGUAAC